rnacentral:rRNA from 1 species
GUGCACCAGGCGCGAAACCUUCGCAAUGCGGGAAACCGCGACGAGGGGACUCCCAGUGCCUACGCUCAGCGUAGGCUGUUCCCGAGCCUAGAAAGCUCGGGGAGUAAGGGCUGGGUAAGACGGGUGCCAGCCGCCGCGGUAAUACCCGCAGCCCGAGUGGUGGCCACUAUUAUUGGGCCUAAAGCGUCCGUAGCCGGCCCGGUAAAUGCCUGGGUAAAUCGUGAGGCCUAACCUCACGAAUUCCGGGUAGACUGCCGGGCUAGGGGACCGGAGGAGGGAGAGGGGUACUCCAGGGGUAGGGGUGAAAUCCUGUAAUCCCUGGAGGACCACCGGUGGCGAAGGCGCUCUCCUAGGACGGGUCCGACGGUGAGGGACGAAAGCCAGGGGAGCGAACCGGAUUAGAUACCCCGGUAGU